CCUACGGGAGGCAGCAGUGAGGAAUAUUGGUCAAUGGACGGAAGUCUGAACCAGCCAUGCCGCGUGCAGGAAGACGGCUCUAUGAGUUGUAAACUGCUUUUGUACAAGGGUAAACCUGAAUACGUGUAUUCAGCUGAAAGUACUGUACGAAUAAGGAUCGGCUAACUCCGUGCCAGCAGCCGCGGUAAUACGGAGGAUCCAAGCGUUAUCCGGAUUUAUUGGGUUUAAAGGGUGCGUAGGCGGAUUGAUAAGUUAGAGGUGAAAUGUCCGAGCUUAACUCGGGAACUGCCUCUAAUACUGGUGGUCUAGAGAGUAGAUGCGGUAGGCGGAAUGUAUGGUGUAGCGGUGAAAUGCUUAGAGAUCAUACAGAACACCGAUUGCGAAGGCAGCUUACCAAGCUAUAUCUGACGUUGAGGCACGAAAGCGUGGGGAGCAAACAGGAUUAGAUACCCGGGUAGUC
rnacentral:rRNA from 1 species